CGGCAGGGUAACCUCAAUGCUCCUAAUGUUAUUAUUAGCAAUUAGACUGUACAAGAUCCACACAAUCUUUCCGAGAGCAAGGCACAGUACAAGUUGAAGGAAUCGAUGCAAUACGUAAAACCUGGAACAGCCAUGAAUGUGUCCCAGGAUUCCUUGAAAAGGAACACCCGCAUUCCGGACAAGAUGCGACUGUAGUACUCCUCCCAGUUAAGAGUGGCCAUGUCGAAGGGAAAUAUACUCCUGUCCUCCGGCGACAUGGAAUCCCAUAAUUGGUUGGUAUUCUUCAUAUCCAUCUCGUACGUUUUUCCAUUGAAGGGAAACAGAAGCAAAAGUGCUUCGUGGAUCUUUUGAUAGCUCCUCAUCAGAAUGGGCUUUUUGCCUUGGAUACGUAGGAGGAGAUCGAAGAAGAAACCAGGAAUCAGAUGAUAGAAUAUGCACCCCAGCUUAAACAACCAAGGGCAGGUGGUAAAGUGGGCAAAUGGAUACCAAAUCGUUUUGGUCACCGGAAUCUUAUGGUUAUGAGCGAUGCCCAACUUGACCGCUUCCCCAAAGGUGAUGGAAUUUGACUUGGCUGUGGCGAGUGUAUAGAUGGGCGGCGGCUUCUGCACCGCCAACUGAGAGGACGAAGGCGAUUCGGAAUUCUUUGCCACCUGCCAUCCGGAAGCCAGCGCCACGUUGGCACAAUAGUCGCCAGGAACUACUAAAGCAUCGGCCUUAGGAUUGACAUACAACAGGCGAAGGAUCCCAUGGGCAUUGCCGUAUAUCAAGGCUACGAUUCCGUGAAGGUUGUCAAUCCAUCCAGACAUCGGCUCCUUGAAAUUUGCCAAAACUGCAAGGCACAAAGAUGAUAAUGUUAACUAAUGACCUGACCUCAAACUUUCUUCUUUCUAUUUGUCGGAGCCAACUAAAUCACUUACUUAUCGCAGGACGAAAGACGCAGAUAGGCAGGUCCUGACCCUCCAUCUGGAUCACCUGCUCGGCCAGUGCCUUGGUAUAGGUAUAGGUGUUCGGAAACUUUCCCAUCAGAGCCGGAGCCAUUUUGUCCAUCAGAUCUGGGCUCAAAGUCUCGUUGAAUUCGAGCACCUUGGCCGCCGGGCACGAUAGGUGCUCCGGAUAGAAACGCUCCUCAAUAUGCUGCGAGGGGCAGUUGGAGAAGGCCGUGGAGAUGUGGACGAAGGCUUUCAAGCCUUUCAUCUCCUUGGCAAGCUGAAUCAAUAGGCGCGUUGCACGCGUAUUGAUAUUCAAAGCCCUGUGAAGCGGCUCCACGAAGCGAAUGGAGGCGGCACUGUGGAUGAUCACCUGCACAUCAGCGGUCACCAUCCUGCGAUCCCCGUCGCUGAGACCCAGACCGGGUUCGCUGCAGUCUCCCGAAAUGGGUGUCACCAAGUUCAGGGCCUCCGGCUUAGCCUUAAGUAGGGUCUCAAAAACCUGAAAAAGAUCAUCAUUCAACCCGAAUUAAUAUCAUACGAAUAUGGAAGUCACUACAGGAUGGGAUCAUCAUCUUCUUGGACUCACCGGCUCAUCUUUCCAGGCCUGGAAUCGUCCUUCCACAGUGUCAUUCUUUUUGGGCCUAACUAAUAGAUAAACUCGCCUUACAUCCGUUGAACGCAGGAGCUUUUCAAUGAUCACUGAAAUUUGGAUUAUAACAUAUUUUAGUUUUGGAUUUACUAUCUACAGAUAUAUAAACUUGUUAUAUAGCUUUACCUUUUCCCAGAAAUCCUGUGCCUCCGGUUACAAAAACCGAUUUGUCUCUGUAAAACUGCAAUAUGUCAGUCUGCAUUUUGGAUUGAAAUGAUAUUGGUUCUGUCGGCUCGCCUACAACAAUGAGCAGUGCUUUCACUCUUUAUUCCAUUUAUAAUCGAAUGCUAAUGAUCUGUUUGUGUCCACCAAUGGGCUUCAAUUAUUCAAUCUGUUACAUUUUGUAUUUGAUUACUUAAUUGAAAUACGAAGGUGGAAAACCGAUGGAAUUGAUCGGUUCGAAAACAUAUUGUAAGGGUUAGUUUUCUUGAACGGAAUUUAAUUAAAAGAAUAUAUA